AUGGUAUCUGCACUCCAUGAACAAGAUGUGACUGAUAGUUCCAGUUAUUUCACAGACUCCAGUCAGCAAGGUAUAUGUUCUAGAGUGACAAUGCACUCAUACUUUGACAUGAACUUUUCAACUGCCUACGUCAGUGACACAGCCACUGCUAAGUCAAAUAUGUCAUGCUACACAACAGAUUCAUGCAACUAUACAUGUACAUCUACCGUCCCACAAGCUUGCCAUCUUCUGCCACUUAAUAUAUUCACUAAAGUUGGGUUGGUACAAUGUCCUGCUGUGUCCAUGUGCUCAAGCUUUGAGGUAGAUCCAAGUAGUUGUGUUGCCCAGUCAAAUGACAAGUCCACAAAAUGUUAUGGGGAGAAGUACAUUUCUCGAAUUGAAAGUCAGUUAAAAGAAUCUGAAAUUCAGCCCCCGUUCGAUAUAAUUGGUGACAAUUUGGACAUUCUUAAAUCGACUUCUUCUAUGACAAAAGAAAAUCAAAGGAAAAGUUUUCACUGGUUUAUCUUAGUUGGUUUACAACGAAGAGAGCUAGAUUCAACUAUGCUGGAUGAUAAACCCAAGCAUGACAUUUUAUCACUACCAAACCAUUCAUUUUUACCCAAUGCCCAAGACAUCAAUAUUUUGGAAAGAAACAUGAACCAUCAUAUACAGAAGGUUAUCACAAGACAUGUUAAAUGCUUAAAGUCUUUUGCUCAUUGUGUUCCAAAACACAUCGAUCAUCCUUUCAUGGAGGAAACCUCAAAAAAGUCAACUCAUUUCAUACUUGAUUUGCUUGACAAAAAUGAAAAUUUGCAUGAUGACAUAAUUAGCAUAUUGGAGCACAUUCAUCAGAAGUAUAUAGCACAUACUCUUGGGGAAAAAGCAGAAGUUUUAGAAAGGAAAGUAUUUGGUGGUGAUGUGCUUACUAAUGAGCGAGCAUACACAGCACAACUCGCAAUGCAGAACUGUGAAACAGAUUAUUACAAACUGGGAGGACUUAUUCACAGACCAGAGGGCCUUCACAGAAUGAUGAACUUUUUGCUGGUAUUCCCCUUGGUUGAUAUUCUGUUCCUGUUCUAAGAAUUGGUUCAGUUCCUGUUUUGGAGUUGUUGGUUAUUUGGAUGGUUUCUGCUUGUGUUUGUUACUCUUGUAAGUGUUCCAUUAUCAUUAUUUUAUUACAAGUUAGAUGAAUUACUGUAGAAUUAUUAUUAUUUGUGAUUUCAAGAUUUUUGGAUACUCACCUGUGAAUUUACAUCCUUGAUAAAUGAAUUUAUUAUUCAUUUUUAAACAAGAUAGUAAAAAUUCUAUGAGCCUCAAGUUUAAUAUAAAAAAUACAAUGAAUUAAAAAAAAAAUAACCCCCACACAUAUAAGUGAUUCCACAGUCAAAAUGCAUAGGUAUUGAAAAUGGAUGCUGGUAGUUUAGCCACCACUUUUUUUAUUAAACACUUUACUUUAAUCCAUUAUAUACAAUUUCCCAAGUGUUAUGCAAUGCCUUAGUAUGAUGCUUCAGGUUUGUUUGCAUGAAAUUUGAAAUUUAACUAACAUUGCAUAUUGUUCACAAAUUAAAGCCUACUAACAGUUGAAGUGAAAGAAUUUGUAAUGUUUGAAUUGUCAAAUUUACUUCAAAAGAAUCAACUAUUUUUUUUUCUAUGGCACAUCAAUCAUAAAAAGUAAAAAUCUGAUGAAUUAUGUUUUCUAAAAAGGCAUACUUUGUUAAUAUAUAUAUUUCAUAUCAGUAGUCAGUACAUGUAUAUCGGGGAUAUUAUUUAAUAUUUUUGCAAUUCAUUUUAUUAAUCUGAUACAUGUAUCAAUAAUUGCUCUUGUAUUUUCUUGACUAGUUUAUAUACCAGGAGUUCUACAAACCAUCCUCUGCAUUUGAACAAGGAACACUCUAUCAACUUCGAAAUGUCAUUCACAGAGUGGAUGUUACUGGAAAAGAUAAAGUUGUUGAAGCAUACAGAGCUCAUUAUGCUUUUGUGGAGGAUGC